UAGAGUUUGAUCCUGGCUCAGAAUGAACGUUGGCGGCGUGCCUAACACAUGCAAGUCGAGCGAGAAAGUUCCUUCGGGAAUGAGUACAGCGGCGGACGGGUGAGUAACACGUAAGAAUCUGCCCUAUAGUGAGGAAUACCCUUGAGAAAUUGAGGUUAAUACUGCAUAAGUCCCUUCGGGGAGAAAGACGUCUUUUAUGUCGUCGCUAUAGGAUGAGCUUGCAGACUAUCAGCUUGUUGGUGAGGUAAAGGCUCACCAAGGCUAUGACGGUUAACCGGCCUGAGAGGGUGUACGGUCACAUAGGCACUGAGAUACGGGCCUGACUCCUACGGGAGGCAGCAGUGGGGAAUAUUGCGCAAUGGGCGAAAGCCUGACGCAGCGACGCCGCGUGGAGGAUGAAGGUCUUCGGAUUGUAAACUCCUGUCAGAUG
rnacentral:rRNA from 1 species